rnacentral:lncRNA from 1 species
CUUGUAAAUUUUAUAUUUUUUAUUCCAUAAAUAAUAGAAGAGAGAUGAAUGGUUUAGAUUGUGUCAACUCAAAUGGGCUGAGUUGCCCAUUUUUAAGGAAAUGGGUAGAUAAGAAUUUGCCUAAUAUGUAUACUCUAACUGAGUGAGUACCAAAAUGGUCCCUCGCAAUAAAAAGUUAAAGUUCCUUUUUUAUCAAGUAACUACCAUUUCAGUGACAAAUCACGAUCAUAACAGUGAAAACUAUUUUUAGCAGAUCCUGUUCUAUCAAUUAAAAUGGCCAAAACAAUUAAGUAACUACUACUUCAGUG